rnacentral:rRNA from 1 species
AUUGAACGCUGGCGGCAGGCUUAACACAUGCAAGUCGAACGAGUGGCGGACGGGUGAGUAAUGCUUGGGAAUCUAGCUUCUGGAGGGGGAUAACUACGGGAAACUGUAGCUAAUACCGCGUACCAUAGGAUGAGCCCAAGUGGGAUUAGGUAGUUGGUGAGGUAAAGGCUCACCAAGCAGACGAUCCCUAGCUGGUCUGAGAGGAUGAGCAGCCCCACUGGGACUGAGACACGGCCCAGAAUCCGUCGGUGGGCAGCAGUGGGGAAUAUUGCACAAUGGGCGCAAGCCUGAUGCAGCCAUGCCGCGUGUAUGACGAAGGCCUUCGGGGUGUAAAGUACUUUCAGUCGGGAGGCGUUACCGACAGAAGAAGCACCGGCUAACUCCGUGCCAGCAGCCGCGGUAAUUC